GGUUAAGCGACUAAGCGUACACGGUGGAUGCCCUGGCAGUCAGAGGCGAUGAAGGACGUGCUAAUCUGCGAUAAGCGUCGGUAAGGUGAUAUGAACCGUUAUAACCGGCGAUUUCCGAAUGGGGAAACCCAGUGUGUUUCGACACACUAUCAUUAACUGAAUCCAUAGGUUAAUGAGGCGAACCGGGGGAACUGAAACAUCUAAGUACCCCGAGGAAAAGAAAUCAACCGAGAUUCCCCCAGUAGCGGCGAGCGAACGGGGAGCAGCCCAGAGCCUGAAUCAGUGUGUGUGUUAGUGGAAGCGUCUGGAAAGGCGCGCGAUACAGGGUGACAGCCCCGUACACAAAAAUGCACAUACUGUGAGCUCGAUGAGUAGGGCGGGACACGUGGUAUCCUGUCUGAAUAUGGGGGGACCAUCCUCCAAGGCUAAAUACUCCUGACUGACCGAUAGUGAACCAGUACCGUGAGGGAAAGGCGAAAAGAACCCCGGCGAGGGGAGUGAAAAAGAACCUGAAACCGUGUACGUACAAGCAGUGGGAGCACGCUUCGGCGUGUGACUGCGUACCUUUUGUAUAAUGGGUCAGCGACUUAUAUUCUGUAGCAAGGUUAACCGAAUAGGGGAGCCGAAGGGAAACCGAGUCUUAACUGGGCGUUAAGUUGCAGGGUAUAGACCCGAAACCCGGUGAUCUAGCCAUGGGCAGGUUGAAGGUUGGGUAACACUAACUGGAGGACCGAACCGACUAAUGUUGAAAAAUUAGCGGAUGACUUGUGGCUGGGGGUGAAAGGCCAAUCAAACCGGGAGAUAGCUGGUUCUCCCCGAAAGCUAUUUAGGUAGCGCCUCGUGAAUUCAUCUCCGGGGGUAGAGCACUGUUUCGGCAAGGGGGUCAUCCCGACUUACCAACCCGAUGCAAACUGCGAAUACCGGAGAAUGUUAUCACGGGAGACACACGGCGGGUGCUAACGUCCGUCGUGAAGAGGGAAACAACCCAGACCGCCAGCUAAGGUCCCAAAGUCAUGGUUAAGUGGGAAACGAUGUGGGAAGGCCCAGACAGCCAGGAUGUUGGCUUAGAAGCAGCCAUCAUUUAAAGAAAGCGUAAUAGCUCACUGGUCGAGUCGGCCUGCGCGGAAGAUGUAACGGGGCUAAACCAUGCACCGAAGCUGCGGCAGCGACACUAUGUGUUGUUGGGUAGGGGAGCGUUCUGUAAGCCUGUGAAGGUGUGCUGUGAGGCAUGCUGGAGGUAUCAGAAGUGCGAAUGCUGACAUAAGUAACGAUAAAGCGGGUGAAAAGCCCGCUCGCCGGAAGACCAAGGGUUCCUGUCCAACGUUAAUCGGGGCAGGGUGAGUCGACCCCUAAGGCGAGGCCGAAAGGCGUAGUCGAUGGGAAACAGGUUAAUAUUCCUGUACUUGGUGUUACUGCGAAGGGGGGACGGAGAAGGCUAUGUUGGCCGGGCGACGGUUGUCCCGGUUUAAGCGUGUAGGCUGGUUUUCCAGGCAAAUCCGGAAAAUCAAGGCUGAGGCGUGAUGACGAGGCACUACGGUGCUGAAGCAACAAAUGCCCUGCUUCCAGGAAAAGCCUCUAAGCAUCAGGUAACAU
rnacentral:rRNA from 1 species